GGGGUUAUAGUUCAGGGGAAGAGCUUGUGUUUAGCAUGCACAAGGCCCUGGUUUCAAUCCCCAGCAUCUCCA
rfam:Ictidomys tridecemlineatus contig055328, whole genome shotgun sequence.